CAGCAGGCGCGAAAACUUUACAAUGCGGGAAACCGUGAUAAGGGGACACCGAGUGCCAGCAUCAUAUGCUGGCUGUCCAGGUGUGUAAAAUACACCUGUUAGCAAGGGCCGGGCAAGACCGGUGCCAGCCGCCGCGGUAACACCGGCGGCCCGAGUGGUGAUCGUGAUUAUUGGGUCUAAAGGGUCCGUAGCCGGUUUGGUCAGUCCUCCGGGAAAUCUGACGGCUCAACCGUUAGGCUUUCGGGGGAUACUGCCAGGCUUGGAACCGGGAGAGGUAAGAGGUACUACAGGGGUAGGAGUGAAAUCUUGUAAUCCCUGUGAGACCACCUGUGGCGAAGGCGUCUUACCAGAACGGGUUCGACGGUGAGGGACGAAAGCUGGGGGCACGAACCGGAUUAGAUACCCGGGUAGUCCCAGCCGUAAACGAUGCUCGCUAGGUGUCAGGCAUGGCGCGACCGUGUCUGGUGCCGCAGGGAAGCCGUGAAGCGAGCCACCUGGGAAGUACGGCCGCAAGGCUGAAACUUAAAGGAAUUGGCGGGGGAGCACAAGGGCGAAUGC
rnacentral:rRNA from 1 species